GAGAGUAUGGCCUCUCACAGGGACGUACAGGUGUACCUGGAAACCGCCCCUCGGUGCCAAACGGGCAACUGUGAGGUACAAAACGGUAAGGGGAAAAGGUCCUAUCGAAAGGAUCAGGU
rfam:Bacteroidetes bacterium GWA2_40_15 gwa2_scaffold_5544, whole genome shotgun sequence.